rnacentral:rRNA from 1 species
ACUGUGAGGUAUGCUGGAGGUAUCAGAAGUGCGAAUGCUGACAUAAGUAACGAUAAAGCGGGUGAAAAGCCCGCUCGCCGGAAGACCAAGGGUUCCUGUCCAACGUUAAUCGGGGCAGGGUGAGUCGACCCCUAAGGCGAGGCCGAAAGGCGUAGUCGAUGGGAAACAGGUUAAUAUUCCUGUACUUGGUGUUACUGCGAAGGGGGGACGGAGAAGGCUAUGUUGGCCGGGCGACGGUUGUCCCGGUUUAAGCGUGUAGGCUGGUUUUCCAGGCAAAUCCGGAAAAUCAAGGCUGAGGCGUGAUGACGAGGCACUACGGUGCUGAAGCGACAAAUGCCCUGCUUCCAGGAAAAGCCUCUAAGCAUCAGGUAACAUCAAAUCGUACCCCAAACCGACACAGGUGGUCAGGUAGAGAAUACCAAGGCGCUUGAGAGAACUCGGGUGAAGGAACUAGGCAAAAUGGUGCCGUAACUUCGGGAGAAGGCACGCUGAUAUGUAGGUGAAGCGACUUGCUCGUGGAGCUGAAAUCAGUCGAAGAUACCAGCUGGCUGCAACUGUUUAUUAAAAACACAGCACUGUGCAAACACGAAAGUGGACGUAUACGGUGUGACGCCUGCCCGGUGCCGGAAGGUUAAUUGAUGGGGUUAGCGGUAACGCGAAGCUCUUGAUCGAAGCCCCGGUAAACGGCGGCCGUAACUAUAACGGUCCUAAGGUAGCGAAAUUCCUUGUCGGGUAAGUUCCGACCUGCACGAAUGGCGUAAUGAUGGCCAGGCUGUCUCCACCCGAGACUCAGUGAAAUUGAACUCGCUGUGAAGAUGCAGUGUACCCGCGGCAAGACGGAAAGACCCCGUGAACCUUUACUAUAGCUUGACACUGAACAUUGAGCCUUGAUGUGUAGGAUAGGUGGGAGGCUUUGAAGUGUGGACGCCAGUCUGCAUGGAGCCGACCUUGAAAUACCACCCUUUAAUGUUUGAUGUUCUAACGUGGGCCCCUUACCGGGGUUGCGGACAGUGUCUGGUGGGUAGUUUGACUGGGGCGGUCUCCUCCUAAAGAGUAACGGAGGAGCACGAAGGUUGGCUAAUCCUGGUCGGACAUCAGGAGGUUAGUGCAAUGGCAUAAGCCAGCUUGACUGCGAGCGUGACGGCGCGAGCAGGUGCGAAAGCAGGUCAUAGUGAUCCGGUGGUUCUGAAUGGAAGGGCCAUCGCUCAACGGAUAAAAGGUACUCCGGGGAUAACAGGCUGAUACCGCCCAAGAGUUCAUAUCGACGGCGGUGUUUGGCACCUCGAUGUCGGCUCAUCACAUCCUGGGGCUGAAGUAGGUCCCAAGGGUAUGGCUGUUCGCCAUUUAAAGUGGUACGCGAGCUGGGUUUAGAACGUCGUGAGACAGUUCGGUCCCUAUCUGCCGUGG